UACAGAGGGGGCAAGCGUUGUUCGGAAUUACUGGGCGUAAAGGGCGAGUAGGCGGCCUGCUAAGUCGAACGUGAAAUCCCCGGGCUCAACCCGGGAACUGCGUCCGAUACUGGCAGGCUUGAAUCCGGGAGAGGGAUGCGGAAUUCCAGGUGUAGCGGUGAAAUGCGUAGAUAUCUGGAGGAACACCGGUGGCGAAGGCGGCAGCCUGGACCGGCAUUGACGCUGAGGCGCGAAAGCCAGGGGAGCAAACGGG
rnacentral:rRNA from 1 species